UACAGAGGGUGCAAGCGUUAAUCGGAAUUACUGGGCGUAAAGCGUGCGUAGACGGUUACAUAAGUCGGGUGUGAAAGCCCCGGGCUCAACCUGGGAAUGCAUUCGAGACUGCGUAGCUAGGGUGCGGAAGAGGGUCGCGGAAUUCCCGGUGUAGAGGUGAAAUUCGUAGAUAUCGGGAGGAACACCAGUGGCGAAAGGCGGCGACCUGGGCCAAUAUUGACGCUGAGGUGCGAAAGCGUGGGGAGCAAACAGG
rnacentral:rRNA from 1 species